UUGAGUAAGGCGGAGCACGAGAAAUUCUGUCUGAAAAUGGGGAGACCACUCUCCAAGGCUAAGUACUACUGAUUGACCGAUAGUGAACAAGUACCGUGAGGGAAAGGUGAAAAGCACCCCUAUAAGGGGAGUGAAAGAGAACCUGAAACCGGAUGCCUACAAGCAGUCGGAGGGUCAUAAGGCCUGACGGCGUACCUUUUGUAUAAUGGGUCAGCGACUUAAUUUAUGUAGCAAGCUUAAGCCGAUAGGUGUAGGCGUAGAGAAAUCGAGUGUUAACAGCGCGUUAAGUUACAUGAAUUAGACCCGAAACCGAGUGAUCUAGCCAUGAUCAGGUUGAAGGUUGGGUAACACCAACUGGAGGACCGAACCCACUCCCGUUGAAAAGGUAGGGGAUGAAUUGUGGCUAGGGGUGAAAGGCCAAUCAAACUCGGAAAUAGCUGGUUCUCCGCGAAAACUAUUUAGGUAGUGCGGUGAGCGGACACCUUGAGGGGUAGAGCACUGGAAGAGCUAAGGGGGAGCGAUCCUUACUAAACUUUACCAAACUCCGAAUACUCAAGAGUGAUACUCACCAGACAGACAUUAGGUGCUAAGGUCUAGUGUCGAGAGGGAAAGAGCCCAGACCGCCAAUUAAGGUCCCAAAAUUAUGGCUAAGUGGUAAAGGAAGUGAAACGUCCAAAACAGUCAGGAGGUUGGCUUAGAAGCAGCCAUCCUUUAAAGAAAGCGUAAUAGCUCACUGAUCUAAACAAGACGUCUUGCGCCGAAGAUGUAACGGGGCUAAAGCCAUAUACCGAAGUUGCGGAUUUACACGUUAAAGUGUAAGUGGUAGCGGAGCGUUCUGUAAGCCUGCGAAGGUGUACCGUAAGGUAUGCUGGAGGUAUCAGAAGUGAGAAUGCUGACAUGAGUAGCGAAAAGAAGAGUGAGAGACUCUUCCGCUGAAAGUCCAAGGUUUCCUGCGUAAAGCUAAUCUGCGCAGGGUUAGUCGGUCCCUAAGGCGAGGCAGAGAUGCGUAGUCGAUGGCAAUCAGGUUAAUAUUCCUGAACCGGCCCGGAAGUGACGGAUUGAGUAAAUUGUAAGUUCUUAUUGGAUUGAGCUUGCAGUGAAUCAGUCCCAGGAAAUAGCCCGGGCUAAGACCGUACCCGAAACCGACACAGGUGGACAGGUAGAGAAUACCAAAGCGCUUGAGAGAACUAUGUUGAAGGAACUAGGCAAAAUACUUGCGUAACUUCGGGAUAAGCAAGCCCCAUUUUAAGGCAACUUAGGGUGGGGGGCACAUACUAGGGGGUAGCGACUGUUUACUAAAAACACAGGGCUCUGCUAAAUUGAAAGAUGAAGUAUAGGGUCUGACGCCUGCCCGGUGCUGGAAGGUUAAGGAGAGAUGUGCAAGCAUUGAACUGAAGCCCCAGUAAACGGCGGCCGUAACUAUAACGGUCCUAAGGUAGCGAAAUUCCUUGUCGGGUAAGUUCCGACCUGCACGAAUGGCGUAACGACUUCCCCGCUGUCUCCAACAUAGGCUCAGCGAAAUUGAACUCUGAGUUAAGAUGCUCAGUACCCGCGGUUAGACGGAGAGACCCCGUGAACCUUUACUAUAGCUUUGCAGUGGUAUUAGGUAACAAAUGUGUAGAAUAGGUGGGAUGCUAUGAAGCUACGACGCCAGUUGUAGUGGAGCAGACUUUGAAAUACCACCCUUUUGUUGUUUGAUAUCUAACCUGCUCCCGUUAUCCGGGAGAGGGACCCUGCAUGGUGGGUAGUUUGACUGGGGCGGUCGCCUCCCAAAGAGUAACGGAGGCGCGCAAAGGUUGGCUCAGAUUGGUCAGAAAUCAAUCGUCGAGUGCAAUGGCAUAAGCCAGCCUGACUGCGAGAGAGACAUUUCGAGCAGAUACGAAAGUAGGUCAUAGUGAUCCGGUGGUCCCGAGUGGAAGGGCCAUCGCUCAACGGAUAAAAGGUACUCCGGGGA
rnacentral:rRNA from 1 species